ACCUGGGUGGCUCAGUUGGUUAAGCGUCUGACUUCGGCUCAGGUCAUGAUCUCACGGUUUGUGAGUUCGAGCCCCACAUCAGGCU
rnacentral:tRNA from 1 species